rnacentral:rRNA from 1 species
UCCGUAAUGCACCGACGCCGUAUGGUGGAUGACUUGGCUUGGGUGGCGACGAAGGACGCGGCAAGCUGCGAAAAGCCCCGGGGAGGCGCACGCAUCCCUUGAUCCGGGGAUUUCCGAAUGGGGUAAAACCCACCGAGAUUGCCGCAAGGCGUCUCGGUGAUCCGAAAGGAUCGCGAACGCUGGGGAAGGAAACAUCUGAGUACCAGCAGGAAGAGAAAUCAAUUGAGAUCCCGUUACUAGCGGCGAGCGAAAACGGGACAGCCCAAACCGAAUCCCCUGGUGAAAGCUAGGGGAGAUGUAGGGUUCGCCUUCAGCGUGUGCGACCCUGGGACCGAUAGCUGAACUCGGCUGGAAAGCCGGAGAACAGAGUGUGAUACUCACGUAGGUCAAUCGGGACCGAGGUCGUGCUGAGGGCAGAGUACCUGGCCUUGGCAGUGGCUAGGGAACAUGGGGGAAAGCAGCCUCCAAGGCUAAACACUACCCAAGACCGAUAGCAAACUACGUACCGCGAGGGAAAGUUGCAAAGGGCCCCGAAAGGGGUGUGAAAAGAGCCUGAAACCAUACGGUUACAGACGUGCGCGGCAUGGAAGGACCACGAUCCUUGAGCGAGUCCCGCAAGGGGCUCAAUUGAGGGUAAGUGCUCCGGUGUCGCGCAUUCCGUCUAGAAACACGGGCCAGGGAGUUAACUGUCAUGGCGAGCCUAAGGGUUCAAAGCCCGGAGGCGAAGCGAAAGCGAUACUCCGCAAGGCCGCAAGGCCCCAGGGAGGAGGUGUGAAAGUGCCUUUGAGUCAUGGCGGUUUAGACUAGAAACCGAGUGAUCGUGCCCUCGACAAGGUGAAGCCGGGCGAAAGCCUGGUGGAGGCCUGACAGGGUCUUAACGUGCAACUUAGUCCCCUGAUCGGGGGCAAGGGGCCAAAAGCCUAUCUAACUCGGUGAUUGCUAGUUCCCACCGAAGCGGAUCCCAGUCCUGUCUCCGUGGAUGUAGCUCACGCUGUAGAGCACCGAUGAAGAAACAAGGAUUCGAAAGGGUCCACUUCUUUUUCGAACUCCGAAUGUGUGGGCGCAAGAGAAGCGGGGAAGCGGGUUUAUGUGGGGUAAGCCUCAUAACCGAGAGGGGAUUAACCCAGACUGGAGUUAAGGUCCCCAAGUUUAGGCUAAGUGUCAAGCUAAAGGGUGUCCGCGAGCUCAGACAGCAGGGAGGUAGGCUUAGAAGCAGCCACCCUUCAAAGAUAGCGUAACAGCUCACCUGCCGAGCUUGCAGGCCCCGAAAAUGGACGGGACUAAAGCCUAGCACCGAUACUCCGGACAGCUACUCUGAGAGUAGCUUGUGGUAGGUGGGCGUAGAGAUUGGGCGGAAGCCGGGCCGUGAGGUCCGGUGGACCGAUUUCUAGUGCAGAUCCUGGUAGUAGUAGCAGCAUAGUCGGGUGAGAAUCCUGACCGCCGCAAGGGCACGGGUUCCCUGGCAAUGCGUCGUCAGCCAGGGGUUAGCCGAUCCUAAGUGUAUCCUCAACAGGGAAACACGAACCAGGGAAACUGGUUAAAAUUCCAGUGCCUUCGUUUGGCCGAUGGGCCGCAAGGCCCGGCAUCGACUCCGACACUUCGAGGUAGGACGUGCAGAGUUUAUCGCUCUGUCUAAUCUUCCGAGUCGUGGGGAGUGUCGUAAUGACGAGAACCACGUCGAGGGGAGAAUGGCAGCCCGUUGGGGUUGUUCGUUCAAUCCCCGGAGACCGUGAAAACGGAGUUGGAAAGACCAAGCGAAGAUCGUACCCAGAACCGACACAGGUGCCCCUAGGUAAGAAGCCUAAGGCGUGUCGGGGAACUGUAGGUAAGGGAACUCGGCAAAAUAGUGGCGUACGUUAGCUAGAAGCCAUGCCUGCAUUCUUCAUGAGAAAUGGGGUUUGCAGGUUGCAAUAACAAGGGGGUCCCGACUGUUUACUAAAAACACAGUAAGCCGCAAGUCCGAAAGGAUGUGUACGGCUUAUGAAUCCUGGCCAGUGCAGGUACCUAAAACCUGGGUUCAACUGGGCUAAGGGCCUGUAAACGCCGGGAGUAACUCUGACUCUCUUAAGGUAGCCAAAUGCCUUGUCGGGUAAGUUCCGACGUGCAUGAAUGGACCAACGAGGGCCCCGCUGUCCCUAUCUACGACCCGGCGAACCUACGUAAGGUGGACGAACAGUCCAUCAACUUCCAUCGGGGAGAGAAGUCCCUGUGGAGCUUUACUGCAGCUUGUUGCUGCGAUGCGGUCUUCUUUGCAGAGUGUAGCUGGGAGACUUCGAAGCGCUGCUUUCGGGUGGCGUGGAGUCAACAAUGUAACACCAGCCUUAGUGGACUGCGUCGCUAACUCCUACGGGAGGACAACGGCAGGUGGGCAGUUCGGCUGGGGCGGCACCCCCUUGAAAAGAUAUCGAGGGGGCCCUAAGGUCGGCUCAUCUGGGUCAGAACUCCAGAGUUGACGGCAAGGCGAAAAGCCGGCCUGACAGGAAGUUUAAACGCAGAACUUUCUGCAACGAAAGUUUGGCCUAGCGAUCCUCCAAGUCCUCACUGUUGGGGGCUGGAGGUGACAGAAAAGUUACCCCAGGGGUAACAGGCUCGUCGCGGGCGAGAGCUCCAAUCGACCCCGCGGUUUGGUACCUCGGCCCAUCAGGGCCUUGGGGCAGAAUCGUGGUAACGCGAUUGAAGUAUCCGCAGAAAAAACACGAGUAUCGGCUUAUAUCGGCGAAACCCGACCUCCUUUAUCCAGGAGUCCCCCCAAGGGGAUCAUUGGGAAGAGCGGGAGAGGGCAACGCCGAGGGAAGUCCAAUGGGAAUUCAGCACCCGACCAGAUGGAAGAAGUCAUUCGAUGACGCCGUGAAUGGCGUCCCAACAGCAGCACAUAUCGAGCUUGCAGGCAGGGCAGUCGACAGCGGAGGGGGCCUCACGGCACUCUUCCUGGGCGCAGCCGCAGUCUGCACAGCGCAUAACAAAUCUCGCUGCCAUGACAGGGACGCCACAGCUUCGUCUAAUACGACUUUCAUCUGAUUGGAAACGCAGGUUCGGUCAGGCAUCACCGCGGAUGGCAUGCGCAGAUUCAGGGAGGGCGCGCCUCAGAGGUGCGCGAGGAUAGGAUACACGGCGAGCAGCAUUAUCGCCAGCAUGGCGACGAUGAGGACCGCCGCGGCCAGGGCAAAGAACUUGCUCGUCCUGUCCAUGCGCGUCUCGCCAGCGCGGCACCCAAUAAACCCUGGGUAUGCGCAGGUCAAACAUCCCGGAUGCCACCGUUAAAGAGGUCCGGCCGUUCCGUUGUGACCCCGUAACGACUGAGCGCGCAGAAGUGUGCGUAAUGAGAUGGCCACGCGGCUAGCUCGAGAUCCCGCAAGGGACACAUCGCGUUCCGACGCGAUGCGACAUGGGCGCAAGCCCGCUCGGGUGUGCCACACAAGAAACGCGGCCAUCAUACGCCGACCCCACGAGUGCUCGUGGGUGAAGACAUAGUCUAACUCCGGGCGUAAGCCUGGGUAUAGUUGCGAUGUCGGCUCUUCCCAUCCUGGUCCUGCAGCAGGGGCCAAGGGUGGGGCUGCUCGCCCAUCAAAGGGGAACGUGAGCUGGGUUUAGACCGUCGUGAGACAGGUCGGCCUCUACCUGAUGGAAGCGGUGGUUCACUGAGGGGAAGCCCUGCCCAGUACGAGAGGAACAGCGGGGCGUUGCCUCUGGCGUACCGGUCGUCCGAGAGGGCGUCGCCGGGCAGCUAAGCAAUUGUGGAUAACCGCUGAAAGCAUCUAAGCGGGAAGCCACUCCCGAGAAGAGUGAGCCUUGGACCCAAGCUACCUCCGCAAGGGGGUGGGGCGGGUCCAGAAGGGCGGCCAUAGAAGAUGGCGUUGAAAUGGUGGGGGUGUACGCUGGAAGCUUCGGCGACCAGUUCAGCCCGUCCACUAAUUACAGCCCAACGCUUGGAUGA